UGGCGACCGGCGCACGGGUGAGUAACGCGUAUCCAACCUGCCGAUAACUCGGGGAUAGCCUUUCGAAAGAAAGAUUAAUAUCCGAUAGCAUAUCAAGAUCGCAUGAUCUUGAUAUUAAAGAAUUUCGGUUAUCGAUGGGGAUGCGUUCCAUUAGUUAGUUGGCGGGGUAACGGCCCACCAAGACGACGAUGGAUAGGGGUUCUGAGAGGAAGGUCCCCCACAUUGGAACUGAGACACGGUCCAAACUCCUACGGGAGGCAGCAG
rnacentral:rRNA from 1 species